AUGGUUUAAUUUUGAGAUGGCUUAUUGCAAUACCAAUCAUUUGCGAAUACAAUUCUUUCGAAGACAGAAAACCAGUGAAAAAGGUGGGAGCUUUUUGUUGACUCUCGCUGACUAUCUGCAUUGUGGAACUCCUCAUUUGUAUGAAGCUUGGACAUGGAUUGUUUCCUAAUUCCAUGCCCAAGUGGUUGGUGAUUUUCUGGAAUCUGUUGGGAUUGGACUUGUGAUAUUCUUGGCUACAUGGUCAUGGCAAUUGCACAGAUCAAUGCUGGAGAAGGCGCCAAUAAGUUCACAUGGAUGCAAUGUAGAUG